UUCAGCAUGUAGGCUGUCUGUCUCCAACCUUGUCUGAUCUUAGAAAAUAAGCAGAAUUGUGCCAUGUUAGUAUUAGAAAGGGAGACUAUCUGGGAAUACCAUGUUGUAGGCUGGAC
rnacentral:rRNA from 1 species